AUACGUAGGUGACAAGCGUUAUCCGGAUUUACUGGGCGUAAAGGGCGUGUAGGCGGUCUUGCAAGUCAGAAGUGAAAUUCCUGAGCUCAACUCGGGCGCUGCUUCUGAAACUGCAGGACUUGAGUGCUGGAGGGGAUAGCGGAAUUCCUAGUGGAGCGGUAAAAUGCGCAGAUAUUAGGAAGAACACCGGUGGCGAAGGCGGCUAUCUGGACAGUAACUGACGCUGAGGCGCGAAAGCGGGGGGAGAAAACAGGAUUAGAUCCCCUGGUAGUCCACGCCGUAAACGAUGAAUACUAGGUGUAGGGGGUAUCGACUCCCUCUGUGCCGCAGUUAACACAGUAAGCAUUCCGCCUGGGGAGUACGGUCGCAAGAUUAAAACUCAAAGGAAUUGACGGGG
rnacentral:rRNA from 1 species